CCUACGGGAGGCAGCAGUAGGGAAUCUUCCACAAUGGACGAAAGUCUGAUGGAGCAACGCCGCGUGAGUGAAGAAGGGUUUCGGCUCGUAAAGCUCCGUUGGUAGUGAAGAAAGAUAGAGGUAGUAACUGGCCUUUAUUUGACGGUAAUUACUUAGAAAGUCACGGGUAACUACGUGCCAGCAGCCGCGGUAAUACGUAGGUGGCAAGCGUUGUCCGGAUUUAUUUGGCGUAAAGCGAGUGCAGGCGGUUCAAUAAGUCUGAUGUGAAAGCCUUCGGCUCAACCGGAGAAUUGCAUCAGAAACUGUUGAACUUGAGUGCAGAAGAGGAGAGUGGAACUCCAUGUGUAGCGGUGGAAUGCGUAGAUAUAUGGAAGAACACCAGUGGCGAAGGCGGCUCUCUAGUCUGCAACUGACGCUGAGGCUCGAAAGCAUGGGUAGCGAACAGGAUUAGAUACCCGGGUAGUC
rnacentral:rRNA from 1 species